rnacentral:rRNA from 1 species
AUUGAACGCUGGCGGCAGGCCUAACACAUGCAAGUCGAACGAGUGGCGGACGGGUGAGUAAUGUCUGGGAAACUGCCUGAUGGAGGGGGAUAACUACUGGAAACGGUAGCUACUACCGCAUACCAUCAGAUGUGCUCACAUGGGUGUAGAGAGUUGGUGGGGUAACGGCGCACCAAGGUGACGCUCCCUAGCUGGUCUGAGAGGAUGACGAGCCACACUGGAACUGAGACACGGGCCAGACUCCUACGGGAGGCAGCAGUGGGGAAUAUUGCACAAUGGGCGCAAGCCUGAUGCAGCCAUGCCGCGUGUAUGAAGAAGGCCUUCGGGUUGGAAAGUACUUUCAGCGGGGAGGCGUUACCCGCAGAAGAAGCACCGGCUAACUCCGUGCCAGCAGCCGCGGUAAUUC